rnacentral:rRNA from 1 species
UUGACCAUACCAUGUUGUAAACACCGGUCCUCGUCUGAUUACUGAAGCUGAGCAACGUCGGACCUAGCUAUUAUUUUCAUGGGUGACUGGAUGGAAAUACCGGAUGUUGCGGCCGUCC